rnacentral:rRNA from 1 species
CUGCAGCUCAAGUGGUGACCACUAUUAUUGGGCCUAAAACGUUCGUAGCCGGUUUGGUAAAUGCCUGGGUAAAUCGUGUAGCUUAACUAUACGAAUUCCGGGUAGACUGCCAAACUUGAGACCGGGAGAAGCUAGAGGUACUCCUGGGGUAGAGGUGAAAUCCUGUAAUCCUGGGGGGACCACCAGUGGCGAAGGCGUCUAGCUAGAACGGGUCUGACGGUGAGGAACGAAGCCCUGGGGCGCAAACCGGAUUAGAUACCCGCGUAGUCC